ensembl:lncRNA
CCGUCCCCUGAAGGAUGGUGGAGGAGGAGGAGGCAGAGGUCGGGGGGGGCGGCGUUGGUGGCCGGGGGCUGCUGGGCCUGUUGCUCAUCUGCCGGGGAGCCGUUGUUUCAGUGCCGGCCGAUGACCGCAAGCCUCCACCCCGGGCAGGUUCCUUCCGUCCCCUGAAGGAUGGUGGAGGGGGACGGGGGGGCUGUGCUGAUGCCCGGUGGGUCUGGGGGCUGCUGGGCCUGUUGCGCAUCCCCCGGGAUGUGGAGCCCAGGCCGGUGGGCCGCGGGGGCCGAGGUGGGGGCAGCUGAGCCUGGCUGCUGUCCAGCCUGGCAGGGGCUGCUCUGGUGGUGUCCUGCAGCAGGUGGGCAGGUCGUCCCCACACAGGUGGUUGCCACCAUGUCUGUCUUUUGGGCCCCUCGAGGUGGGCAGGCUGUUCAUCUGACUCUGAACUGGAGCUGCUGCUAUCAUCCCGGGCUUCAUCAGCUGCAGCGAGGCGCCUGCGGAGAGAGGAA